rnacentral:lncRNA from 1 species
GUACUCCACUGACAUGAUUUGAUGGAGGUCCGCGUAGGAAACCAGUGAAGCCUGAAGUUUUUUAUCGAUCAUGUCGAUGUAUCAAAGAUCGUCAUUAUCGUAGGAUCUUUGGUUUUUUGGUUUUAUUGUGUAAAAAAAUGCUGUGCGUAGGUAAAGAAGUAAACUAGCAGUAGCACUGCAUUCACGUCAGUGUGUCCUACAAUAAUUGGCUACGGUGAAUGUCAGUGAUAAUCUGGGAUUUUGUAAGACUGGUGUGAGAUUCCGGCCGGAAGUGGGACCAUGAUGAAUACACAUCUAAUAACUUCCGUAUUGCUUCUGCUGCAUUUCGGAGGGACAGGCGUACAUUCCACCUUCACCAACGAGUUUAUAUCUAACAUUGAAGGAGGGCCGGAAGUUGCUGAUAACCUGGCAGCAAGUUAUGGAUACAUAAACUUUGGAGAGAUAGAGAACUUUCCAGAUCACUAUGUUUUUCAUCAUCUAGCGACAGAAAAGAGAUCCAUCAGACCAAGUAGAGGAGACCACACAGCAAUCAAACAUGAAGCCGCUGUAAGUCAACUCACAAAUGCUUAAA